rnacentral:lncRNA from 1 species
CUUUCUUACAGGAAUCAGUGAUGCUCCUGUUACAGGCACGGUUUCUGGUCAGAAUUGCUGUGAGGAAAAGAGGAAUCCCUCCUCCAGCACGCUGCCAGGCGGUGGUGUUCAGAACCCUUCUGCAGACAGGAAUUUGCUGGACCUCCUCUCACCACAGCCAGCUCCGUGCCCUCUGAAUUAUGUUUCGCAGAAAAGUGUCCCCAAGGAAGUGCCACCAGGUACUAAGUCCUCUCCAGGUUGGUCCUGGGAGGCUGGCCCGUUGGCUCCUUCCCCAUCUUCACAGAAUACACCUCUGGCUCAAGUGUUUGUCCCUUUGGAGUCUGUUAAGCCCAGCAGCCUGCCGCCUCUCAUUGUGUAUGACCGGAAUGGAUUCAGAAUUCUGCUCCACUUCUCCCAGACGGGAGCCCCUGGGCACCCAGAGGUACAGGUGCUGCUCUUGACCAUGAUGAGCACGGCUCCCCAGCCUGUCUGGGAUAUCAUGUUUCAAGUGGCU